rnacentral:rRNA from 1 species
AUUGAACGCCGGCGGCAUGCCUAACACAUGCAAGUCGAACGGGGCAGCAAUGCCUAGUGGCGGACGGGUGAGGAAUACGUAGGAAUCUGCCCUUAAGUGGGGGAUAACCAGGGGAAACCCUGACUAAUACCGCAUGAUCUCUUCGGAGCAAAGAGGGGGACCGCAAGGCCUCUCGCUUCUGGAUGAGCCUACGUCUGAUUAGCUAGUUGGUAGGGUAAAGGCCUACCGAGGCGACGAUCAGUAACUGGUCUGAGAGGAUGAUCAGUCACACCGGAACUGAGACACGGUCCGGACUCCUACGGGAGGCAGCAGUGGGGAAUAUUGGACAAUGGGCGCAAGCCUGAUCCAGCAAUGCCGCGUGUGUGAAGAAGGCCUUCGGGUUGUAAAGCACUUUAGCCUGGAAAGAAAAAACUUUGGUUAACACCCAAAGUCUUGACGGUACCAGGAGAAUAAGCACCGACUAACUCUGUGCCAGCCGCCGCAGUAA